rnacentral:rRNA from 1 species
UGGCGGACGGGUGAGUAACGCGUGGGGAACCUGCCUUGCACCGGGGGAUAACACUUAGAAAUAGGUGCUAAUACCGCAUAAGCGCACAGAGCCGCAUGGCUCGGUGUGAAAAACUCCGGUGGUGCAAGAUGGACCCGCGUCUGAUUAGCUGGUUGGCGGGGUAACGGCCCACCAAGGCGACGAUCAGUAGCCGGCCUGAGAGGGUGAACGGCCACAUUGGGACUGAGACACGGCCCAAACUCCUACGGAAGGCAGCAG